UACGGAGGGGGCUAGCGUUGUUCGGAAUUACUGGGCGUAAAGCGCGUGUAGGCUGCUUGGAAAGUCGGAUGUGAAAGCCCUGGGCUCAACCUAGGAAGUGCAUUCGAAACUUCCAAGCUGGAGUGCUGGAGAGGAAGGCGGAAUUCUCGGUGUAGAGGUGAAAUUCGUAGAUAUCGAGAGGAACACCGGUGGCGAAGGCGGCCUUCUGGACAGUCACUGACGCUGAGACGCGAAAGCGUGGGGAGCAAACAGG
rnacentral:rRNA from 1 species